GGGCCCAUGGUAUAGUGGUAACACACGUCCAUGGCAUGGACGAGUCCGGGGUUCGACUCCCCGUGGGUCCACUA
rnacentral:tRNA from 1 species